AAGGGCUUCCCUAAUAGGAUGCAAUACUCUGACUUCAAACAUUGGUAAGUCUCAUGGUAAAGGGACGAAAUACAUUCAUGAUGAUUUAAAGUACGUGUAUUUAGUAAUUAUAAUGGCUGCACUUGCUUGUUUCUAAAGCUACAAGCUACUGACGCCAUAGCCUCAGAAGAGGAUGACAAGAAGGAAGCAGAAAUGACAUUCCAGAAAGCUGGGCUAGAUAAGGAGCUGUAUAGGUGCAGUAAGACAAAGAUAUUUUUUAUACCUAAUAUUUUGAUAAACGGAUAGUUUGUGUUUAUAUUUCUUUAUAAUACCUAUAAUACUCAACAUUUCUACACAGGUAUUCAUCUGUGCUGGUGUCUUGGGUACCAUGGAAGAACUUCGUAAUGAACUUUUGGCUAAGGUCAUCACUUGGAUGCAGUCAUGGAUCCGUGGUCUGAUUGGACGUCUUCAAGAACAACGUGUUUCCCUCGUAGUUCUGCAGAGGAACAUUCGGAAGUUUAUAGAUAUGAGCAACAUCUUUUGGCAUAAGGCGUAGCCUCUCAUCUACCAGCCUAGGAUUGAAGAUAAGAUCAACAAGCUUAAGGACAAGGCUGGGAAAGCUGUUUCAGCCUUGGAUUGCAAAUCUACAUGCCGCAAGGAGCUGGAGGAAUCCAAUGCAAAUCUUGUUGAAGGACUGAAUGAACUGAAGGUUACCCUCGAAUCCACAUAGAGCAACGUUUCGAAAUUCAUCGAAGAACAAGCCAAACUGAGUGCUAAGAAGACCAAGCUACAGGCUAAGCUGAAAGAUUAGAGGCAUGUAGAGCAAGAUGUCAGUGCCACGAGGAAAGACCUGGAAGAAUUUGAACUUAAUGUCCAAAAGACUAACCAGGAUAAGGCUACCAAGGAUCAUCAGAUCAGGAAUAUCAAUAAUGAGAUCGCUCACCAGGAUGAAAUCAUCGACAAGCAGGAUAUGAAUCAAAAGACUGCUGAGGAUCCCCAGGCCGUCGAGGAGAAGGCCAGCCACCUCAACAAGAUCAAAGCCAAGUUGGAACAAACCCUAGACGAACUCGAGAGUUCCGUUGGACGCAAGCUUAGUGUCGAAAUUAAGAGGUCCAAGAGGAAGGUAGAGGGAAAUCUUAUAAUGACCCAAGGGUCUGUCGCAAGAAACACAUUGAUGUUGUUACUGAGAUGACUGAACAGAUCGAUCAUCUCAGCAAGGUGAAGGCCAAAAAACUUGCCGAGUAGGACCCAACCGAAUCACCACUAGAACGACUGCACCGAAGUCUUCCGUCCGUCAGUCUAGGCACACGUCUGACGUCACAAACAAAGCUUUCCCCCGGGCCCCAAGGACGAUAAGCCCCGGCAAGAAUAAAAUCUCGGCCAGUCUACCACCGAUACGCAAUGUAAAGUGGAUCCGUAAUAAAUUAU